UAAAAGAUUAAGUUCAACUCCCAUUUGUUCUCUCUGACUCACACUCAUUUGCCAUGUGAUGCCUUCCUCCAUGAGAUGACUCUCAUCAAUUGCUGACACCAUAUUCUUGGACGUCAUGGCCUCCAGACCAUGAGCCAAAUAAAUCUCUUUUCUUCAUAAAUUACCCAAUCUGUGGUAUUUUGUCCCAGCAGCAGAAAAUGGACUGAGAGAGAACAUUGUUAUUGAGAAGUGGAGCUGUUGCUAUAACAAAUACCUGAAAAUAUGGAUAUGGCUUUGAAACAGGGUAAUGGGUAGAGGCUGGAAGAAUUUGAGGAGCAAGCUAGCAAAGGCCUAGAUUGUCCUAAACAGAGCAUUAAGGGUGAUUCUGGUGAGGGUUCAGAAAAGAAGAAAUGCAGGGAAAGUAGGUGAUACGGUUUGGAUUUGUGUCUCCGCCUAAAUUUCAUGUCUGAAUUUUAAUCCCCAGUAUUGGAGGAGGAGCCUGGUGGAGGGGAUUGGAUCAUGGGGACAGACUACCUCCUUGCUGUUCUUGUGAUGAUGAUGCCCACCAGAUGCCAGUGCCAUGCUCUUGGACUUCCCAGCCUCCAGAACCAUACCCUGGGAAUUCUAAGUGAAUUUGGAAUACUGGAAAUACCAAACAAGCAACCACUUCCUGGAAAACAACCUGACAAAAAGAUGAAAACAGUGAAAAGAGGUCUUUUGCACAUUUAACAAUGGUCAUCAUGAGUGAAGUCUUGAGCCACUGAGCCACUACCACCUUGUGCCAAAUACUAUCUGUGCCCUGCCUGCCAACCAGGAUGACAACCCUUCACCUGCCAGGAGUUGAUUCAAGCAAUAGGGAAGCAAGUUAAACGAUACCAGGUGAAAGCAACCAGACAAACCCAGAAGGUGGACCAAUCUGCAGGACAACUGGACUGGUCUUUUUAAAAAGACACUAAGAUAAAAGGCAGACUGUGCUAGCCUUUCAAGUAUAUGUCAGAAUACCCUAAGAGCCUUUGAGAGCCUGUGUUCCAGGUCAGGAGUCAGAGAUGGAGGUUACAGAGACAUGGAAGAACUCAG